rnacentral:rRNA from 1 species
AACGAACGCUGGCGGCAUGCCUAACACAUGCAAGUCGAACGAGACCUUCGGGUCUAGUGGCGCAUGGGUGCGUAACGCGUGGGAACCGGACCAUAGGGUCGGAAUAACUCCACGAAAGGGGUGAUAAUACCGGAUAAUGGCUUCGGACCAAAGAUUUAUCGACUUUGGAUGGGCCAGCGUUGGAUUAGCUAGUUGGUAGGGUAAAAGCUGCCCAAGGGGACGAUCCAUAGCUGGUCUGUGAGAAUGAUCAGCCACACUGGGACUGAGACACGGCCCAGACUCUUACGGGAGGCAGCAGUGGGUAAUAUUGCACAAUGGGCGAAAGCCUGAUCCUCCAAUGCCGCGUGAGUGAUGAAGGCCUUAGGGUUGUAAAGCUCUUUUACCCGUGAUGAUCAUGACGGUACCGGGAGAAUAAGCUCCGGCUAACUCCGUG